rnacentral:sRNA from 1 species
ACUGGACUUUUGUGCUUUCGGCUGCCGCCCGAACGCGCCGCACGAAGAACUUUUACAUCGGUCGCCUUUGCCUGCUCGCCUUCUGCUGCCUCCGCGUCUCAUUCAGUUUUCAGUUUGCUUUGCUCUGUUCGCCGUUCACCACCGCCUCUCACCCGCGCGGCGUUUCGAUUCUGAUUGCCACUACUGUUGCACACACACACACACACAUUCGCCGGAGAGUGUGCCCGCCACCACCACCGUUGCAAUAUCAAGUGGCCCGCCCCAAAGGAACCUCCGCAUCCGUCUAAAUAUACCUUGAAGUCCGCUCCUGGCGAGCCUCCCCAGUAAAAUCGGCGGAAUCGGGCCAAGAAGAGAAUCACAUGAGGUGAACAAAACAGAUUUGUUGUGCGCAAAUUGCACACUCACA